AAAUGCCUGGUGAAAUGUGAAUUGGGAACCCAAAAGCACAAGGCUCAAAAGGAUAUGUUCUGUUUGGAACACACAAACGAGAAAAAAAAUGAAGAAGAAGAAGCAAUGUUUGGCAAAAUCUAGGGCUUCCAAGAAAGCAUCACAUGCCAGACAACUUGCAAUUCAAACAAGCUGACUGCAAUAGUUUAAGGAGAAUCGACCGUCAGCCAACCACUUGAAGCAAACCCCAAUUCAUCAGAUUCAAGCAUGAUUCAUCUAAAGUUAAUCAAAAGCAGCUAAACACUUUACCUAAGGAAGUAAGCAACUUUAAAAAACAAAUUACGUUAGUUAAAAACUAAUUUAAAGAAAAAUCAUGUUAACAUAAAAAUGAGCCAUAUAGAACGUUGCAGAUCUAACAAUAGCGGGAAAAGAAUAACCAUAUUUGUAAAAACGUUGCACGUAAAUAUAACACAGAUAAAAAGAAAGAAAAAUCAAAGAAUUCUGAAAAAGGAAAGAUAAAUAUAUGUUAAACCUUACAAAAAGAUAAGGUACCUCGACAGGUGAAAAUAUUCACAAAAUGGAUGAAGUAGUAAAGAAUCCCAGAAAUUGUAAGAAAGAAAAGAAAAAAUCAUAAUUAAAAUAUUCACAGAAUCAUUUAGCCCAGAAAUUAAAGCAAGAAAAGAAAACAUCUCCAAAAUCCGGCUGAAAACUUCAAAACCUAGCUAGAAGUAGAAACGCCAACAGAACAGUACAAACUCCCAGAUCGCCCAAAAAUUCGACGAAUAUACCCGCGGCAACCACUUCUAAUCCUCGUCAAAGCAUUAAAAGCAAAGAUCGAGCAAAAACUGAAGCUUCUCAGCUAGAUCAAGGUAAGCCAAGAGGAACCCAGCUCGAUUUUCACGUAGGAAACAGAAUGCGGCAGCAAAGGACAAGAAAAUCACCAUGUAAAUGUAUGUAUAAGCAAGGUACCUUAUCGGCGUCCAUGUGAGCAGCGGCAGCUGGUGGCGGAGCAUGAUGAUGAUGAUAUUGAUGGUCGGACGGUGGAUUAUGCUGAUGCGGCUGAGGUCCCAGUGACAACGAGGCCAUGUGAUUUUGCAUUCACACACUUUCUCUCUCCCCCUACGCGAAUCUGUGCAGCUAUUUUCCCUUUGUUAAAUUAUUUUGCUAUUUUUUAUGGCAUUCUUGCAAUAUAUUGGUUUUUCUGAUAAAAACAAACAAUUUUUAUGGCUUUAUUCAAACGGUCAAACUUUCCGUUGGAUUCUUAUAACAUUGCGUAAUACUCAACAAUUACAAGUUUAGCGUAUCCCUUAAAUCCUGCGUUUAUAAAAGAGCGAAAGAUUUACAGGAUAUGUGUCACGAUUUCCUUUUUUUUCCUUUCGCUCUUUCAUUAUUUUAGGUAACCAUUAGCUCAAACAUCUCAUCAUCUCACUCCACAAUUCUAUAUUUUCAAAACAUGAUCAAAUCCUGACCCAAAAUCUCAUUUGCACGCGUGGCUAUAUCUCCAUCCAAUUUGUCCAAAAUUGCAGCACCCACGACCAAAGUCUAUUAUAGACUGUUUAUACAACCGAAAACAAGCAGUUCCAUGGUCACAUAUAAUCAGAAAACAUUCUAUGUAAAUAUAUGUUUAUUCUACUUUCAUGUAACCACUUGUUUUCUAU
rnacentral:lncRNA from 1 species